rnacentral:rRNA from 1 species
AGUCGAGCGGCAGCACGGGUACUUGUACCUGGUGGCGAGCGGCGGACGGGUGAGUAAUGCCUAGGAAUCUGCCUGGUAGUGGGGGAUAACGCUCGGAAACGGACGCUAAUACCGCAUACGUCCUACGGGAGAAAGCAGGGGACCUUCGGGCCUUGCGCUAUCAGAUGAGCCUAGGUCGGAUUAGCUAGUUGGUGAGGUAAUGGCUCACCAAGGCGACAAUCCGUAACUGGUCUGAGAGGAUGAUCAGUCACACUGGAACUGAGACACGGUCCAGACUCCUACGGGAGGCAGCAGUGGGGAAUAUUGGACAAUGGGCGAAAGCCUGAUCCAGCCAUGCCGCGUGUGUGAAGAAGGUCUUCGGAUUGUAAAGCACUUUAAGUUGGGAGGAAGGGCAGUUACCUAAUACGUGAUUGUUUUGACGUUACCGACAGAAUAAGCACCGGCUAACUCUGUGCCAGCAGCCGCGGUAAUACAGAGGGUGCAAGCGUUAAUCGGAAUUACUGGGCGUAAAGCGCGCGUAGGUGGUUUGUUAAGUUGAAUGUGAAAUCCCCGGGCUCAACCUGGGAACUGCAUCCAAAACUGGCAAGCUAGAGUAUGGUAGAGGGUGGUGGAAUUUCCUGUGUAGCGGUGAAAUGCGUAGAUAUAGGAAGGAACACCAGUGGCGAAGGCGACCACCUGGACUGAUACUGACACUGA